rnacentral:piRNA from 1 species
UCUCUAGGCACGAGGAGUCUCCAGGUUU